CUACGGGGGGCAGCAGCUAAGAAUCUUCCGCAAUGGACGCAAGUCUGACGGAGCGACGCCGCGUGUGCGAAGAAUGUCGAGAGAUUGUAAAGCACUUUUAUAUGUGAGGAAUAACCGCAUCAGGAAAUGGUUGUGGGAUGACGUUAGCAUAUGAAUAAGCUCCGGCCAAUUACGUGCCAGCAGCCGCGGUAACACGUAAGGAGCGAGCGUUGUUCGGAAUUAUUGGGCGUAAAGGGCAUGUAGGCGGUUUUGUAAGUCUGAUGUGAAAGCGUGCAGCUUAACUGCAUUGUUGCGUUGGAAACUGCGAAACUUGAAUCCGGGAGGGGUAAGUGGAAUUCCUAGUGUAGGGGUGAAAUCUGUUGAUAUUAGGAAGAACACCAGAGGCGAAGGCGACUUGCUGGCUCUGGAUUGACGCUGAGGUGCGAAAGCUUAGGUAGCGAACAGGAUUAGAUACCCCAGUAGUC
rnacentral:rRNA from 1 species